AUUAAAAAGUAAGAUAAAUUAUAUGAGAUCUUUAAUUUGUAUAUAAGAUAAUUUUAUUUUGUUCUAAUAUCUGUGUGAUGUUAGUUUAAAAUAUUAUUUUUUAAUAUAUUGAUUUUAUAUAUUAGGUAGGUGCCCAUUCUGUUCCUAGCUUCAGAAGUUAUUUAUACCUAUGCAAUACCUUUGCUCAGGUUAAAGAAUGGAAUAAUAGUCUUGCAUCAAAUAUAUAUUACAUAUCCAUUCGAUGUUUAUCACCAGAAGUUAGUUCUACCUUUGCAGUACCUCUGCUUUACAUACCUCCUCGCUGGUUAAAGAAUGAAAUAUAAAUCUCAUAUCAAGUUGGUGUAAAAAUUUAGUUCAAUAAAUUAAGAAUUUAUAAACGUUCUCAAAAUUUUGAGUGGAGCAAUUGUUUUUCUGGUUUAGCAUGAGUAUGAAUCUGAUAUCAAUUGUAUGUACAAAGAUAGUUUACUUCUUAAAGAACCUAUUAGUAAACCAACUGAUUAUAAAACAGUUUUUAAUGGGAAUAAAAACAAAUUUUCAAAAGAUUUCAAUUAGCUAUUUGUAUAUUCAAACACUUUAUUUACUGAGAGAAGAGACUAUAGAUUCAA